ensembl:lncRNA
GCUUCUUUUUAUGGUGCUACCUGUUCCAGGGUUAGGACUGUAACCACCAGCUUCUUUCUAUGGUGCUACCUGUUCCAGGGUUAGGACUGUAACCACCAGCUUCUUUCUAUUGGUGCUACCUGUUUUGGUGCUACCUGUUCCAGGGUUAGGAUUGUAACCACCAGCUUCUUUCUAUGGUGCUACCUGUUCCAGGGUUAGGACUGUAACCACCAGCUUCUUUCUAUGGUGCUACCUGUUCCAGGGUUAGGAUUGUAACCACCAGCUUCUUCUAGGGGCUACCUGUUCCAGGGUUAGGACUGUAACCACCAGCUUCUUUCUAUGGUGCUACCUGGUCCAGGGUUAGGACUGUAACCAAUCAACUUGAGAAAUAAGCCGGAGCUGAGAGGAUCACCAAAACUAAAGAGCGUACAACCAUGCCGACAACCAUCCGUGGAGAUAAGUGGAUAAAGGCCUGGACAAUGGCCCACACUGAAAAAACGCAUGGUUGUCAAGAAAGCGGCCACUGUAAUGUGCCUCGAUGGGGGCUCAGGGCGGUACCAUUCUGGUCAUCUGAUGAAAGUGCACAUGGAUCAGAUUCAAACUCUGAUUACCGAGAUCGAAUCAUUGAAGGCAGACCAGCAGAAAAAGAAACAUUAUCUGAGGGCAGAAAUACGGAGGACAGCUGAUGCAUUGUUCCAGACCCAGGCAGUAUUGGUGGAGAGUCACUCGUUGUUGGCGGAGAGUCACUUGUCAUUGGUGGAGAGUCAGGCAGCAUUGACAGAGGGUCAGGCAGAGAAUGAUGCGUUAAAGAGGGCGAGGAAUGAGAUGGAGUCACAAUUCAUGCCAGGCACACCUGUAAGAUCUGGAACUCAACAUACGUGGCGGCGGGUUCAUCAGGUUUUCGGGUUUUCACACUGACAUUUCCAUUCCUCUUCUGACAACAGAACUUGAUGAACUGCUCACCAGGCACAGCAAGGGUCGUCUAGACCGUUAUGCUGUUCUGCUGUUCCAAGGAUGUGUAACCGAAGAGGGAUACCACGAGUGGACACAGAAUACCAACUGGGAUGGACCCCGAGGCAAAUGUGGCUUACCAGUAAACCUCCUGGUGUUUAUUAUUAAUACUGUGUCUCAGAAGUUUCUGUCCAUGACUGAUGCAACCGGAAAAAGCAUUAAAGACCGAGUUAAUGAGUACUUGAGGUCACAGAGAAAGUCUAGACAUGGCCGCUCUCCCUUAUGUAAGGAAUUAGGCACUUUACUAUGUUUACUACUGUAUGUACUGUAGACUAUGUUUACUUGUUUACUUGCAAAGUAGCCUAAUGAACAUAUGCUGUUCUAUCUUCAAUAUGCUUUAAAUGCUUUAUUAUCCAAAUGUUUAAAGUGCAUGUGGGCAAUCUCAUGCAACCGCAAAAUGUUGGAUAAAGCAUAUACUGUACAGUACUGUUUUUCUUCAUCAACAUCUUUAUGCUUUUGUUAAUAAAAUAAUGAUCAAAAUACUCUUUCAAAAUGCAGAUGUUUAUUUCGUUAUGGAUCCAUAAUGAAUUACUAUGGGAAUUAACAUCACUGAAUGACAGAAAU